rnacentral:rRNA from 1 species
GGCAGGSUUAACACAUGCAAGUCGAACGGGUAUCUUCGGAUASUAGUGGCAGACGGGUGAGUAACACGUGGGAAMGUACCUUUCGGUUCGGAAUAAUACAGGGAAASUUGUACUAAUACCGGAUAAGCCCUUCGGGGGAAAGAUUUAUCGCCGAUAGAUCGGCCCGCGUCUGAUUASCUAGUUGGKGAGGUAAUGGCUCACCAAGGSGACGAUCAGUASCUGGUCUGAGAGGAUGAUCASCCACACUGGGACUGAGACACGGCCCAGACUCCUACGGGAGGCAGCAGUGGGGAAUAUUGGACAAUGGGCGAAAGCMUGAUCCAGCCAUGCCGCGUGUGUGAUGAAGGCCUUAGGGUUGUAAAGCACUUUUGUCCGGGAAGAUAAUGAC